UACGGAGGGGGCUAGCGUUGUUCGGAAUUACUGGACGUAAAGCGCACGUAGGCGGCUUGGUAAGUUAGAGGUGAAAGCCUGGAGCUCAACUCCAGAAUUGCCUUUAAGACUGCCGAGCUAGCAGGUGAGAGAGGUGAGUGGAAUUCCGAGUGUAGAGGUGAAAUUCGUAGAUAUUCGGAAGAACACCAGUGGCGAAGGCGGCUCACUGGCUCAUACUGGACGCUGAGGUGCGAAAGCGUGGGGAGCAAACAGG
rnacentral:rRNA from 1 species